rnacentral:sRNA from 1 species
AUAAAGCUUUUAACUAACAUUGAUUAUCAGCUGUUUUGUACGGAAAACGUGGACUCUAAAUAAUAUACCGUUUCCCUGCUCUGCUGCUAAUGGCAAUACAUUUUUGUCAUGUCAUCUGCAACAGACGAUCAUACAUAUGUGGCGGAUUAUCGAUAUAGAUACAGCUAGGUAGCAAUAGCAGUGGAAGCCCGGAUUUGCAAGCAAAAUGAGGGAAAGACAGGAUUCUGAAAAGGAGCAUGUUUUUCAUUUCCACACAUGCAUGUGUAUCACUAUGGACAUCUAAUGUUUUUGUGGGAUUUUGUCCAGCAGUUUGCCUUAACAGAAUUUUUUUAUAUUUUAGUUUUAUAUUUAUGUGGAUUCCAAUAAAAAUCAUACAAACUUC